ACAUUUUCUUUAAAUGCUAUAUAUUUAUAAAUAUCUCUUGAGUUCAAACGAUAUUCAUUCAAUAGUAUAAAAAAAAUUGCAAGAUUUUCCAUUUGAAACGCCCCCUCUAGCUUGUCAGGUUUCAAUACACGGCUAUGAUAAAUAAAAUGUCUACGGGAAUUUUUCCAUUGCAAAAGAGAUGAAAGUAUCCGGAUGAUGACGUUGAAAAAAUUGUGCGAGGUAUUUGGAGUGACUUCCAAACAGAGAAAAAAUGUAAGCGUUCCCCAUUAUUAUAAAUCUUCGUAAGAUAUUUUGGAAAUUUUACCUUCAUCGAUAUUAAUUGCACUUUUUACUAGGAGUUUGUAUUUUAUAAAAAAAAAAUAAAUCGACGAAAUGUGCGGCAUAAAUAUCUUGGACCAGACUAUAGCUAAAAAUCCUAAUGUUAGUAGGGUUUUAUUUUAUUUUUCGGACUUGUUUGUUAUAAUAUUCCUUUUUUAUCUUAAUACUCAUUUUAGUGUCAAAAUCAUAUUUUUUUUAAAUGAUACAAUAUUUAUUACUAUAGCAUAUACAAUGUAUAUAGUGCUGUUGUUUUUGUGUUUAAAAAGUUCAAGAAAUAAAAUUGCAGUUUUGUUUUCCUUGU
rnacentral:sRNA from 1 species